rnacentral:rRNA from 1 species
GCCUAACACAUGCAAGUCGAACGGAGAUAUGAUUUCGGUUAUAUCUUAGUGGCGAACGGGUGAGUAACGCGUGAGCAACCUGACCUUCAGAGGGGGAUAACACUUGGAAACAGGUGCUAAUACCGCAUAAGACCACGACCCGACAUCGGGAUGCGGUCAAAGGAGCAAUCCGCUGAGGGAGGGGCUCGCGUCCCAUUAGAUAGAUGGCGGGUAACGGCCCACCAUGUCGACGAUGGGUAGCCGAGCUGAGAGGCUGAUCGGCCACACUGGAACUGAGACACGGUCCAGACUCCUACGGGAGGCAGCAGUGGGGAAUAUUGGGCAAUGGGCGCAAGCCUGACCCAGCAACGCCGCGUGAGGGAAGAAGGCCUUCGGGUUGUAAACCUCUGUCCUUGGUGACGAAACAAAUGACGGUAGCCAAGGAGGAAGCCCCGGCUAACUACGUG